UGUCUCGUAGCAUAGUGGUUAAGGUGCAGGACUUGUAACCGAAAGGUCGCAGGUUCAAUUCCCCACUGGGGCAC